rnacentral:rRNA from 1 species
UACAGAGGUCCCAAGCGUUGUUCGGAUUCACUGGGCGUAAAGGGUGCGUAGGUGGCAUGGCCAGUUUGAUGUGAAAGCUCAGGGCUUAACCCUGAAAUGGCAUUGAAUACUGCUGUGCUGGAGGUUUGGAGGGGGACUGGAAUUCUUGGUGUAGCAGUGAAAUGCGUAGAUAUCAAGAGGAACACCAGUGGCGAAGGCGAGUCCCUGGACAACACCUGACACUGAGGCACGAAAGCUAGGGGAGCAAACAG